rnacentral:lncRNA from 1 species
CAUCAGCCAUCGAACAUGCUAGAACAUUCCUGGAAUCACAGGAAGUUCUGUGGGCGGUACUGCCCCGAGGUUUCUCGCCUCCUCCUUCCCUUGUGAACUGACAGCUAAAGGGAAGGCUCACCUCUUGCAGAAGAGACAGCUGGGCGGCCACGAGAACAGCGGGAACUUGGCCCGGCAGCAGCAGCAAAUCUGUCAGGAGAGACUGGUUAGAGCCCCGCUUUGUCCAAAGCUCCCUGGGGUCCCGCCCUGUCCCUGCUACCCCCUCAGGGCUCCCAACCAGAUCAUGAGCAAACAGUCCUGGGAACUGGCCCUCUCGGCACCCGCCCCUGACCCAGCGGGCAAGAGCGUAGCCCCACGUCUAGGCAGCCUCACCUUCCCCUUCUUCAGACUGCUGAAGAGCUCCUUGUUCUGCAAAAACUUUUCCAUCUCGGCCUUCACCAGCACACGGCGCACGUCCAUCACCUCUUCCACAGUCAGCGCCAGGCUCUCCACGGGGUGGCUGAACUCCUAGGGGACGGCCUCAGGUGCCACAGGUGUGACGCCAACAACGUCCGUGGCCAGGAGACCUCACGCCAGGUACAGAGAAGGGCCGCCUGCUCCCCAGGUGAGGCUGUGAGCCCAGGGCAGAUGGAAGGCCAGGUUCUGUGGUGCUCAGUAGCCCCCCUUCAGAAAGCACUUCUGAGACUUCAGAGCUAAAGAACCACUCAUGUGACCUGUGGUCAUCUUAAAUGUGUCCUCUAAUUCCUUAAGAAGUGGGCCUUGGCCGGGUGCGGUGGCUCACGCCUGUGAUCCCAGCACUUUGGGAGGCCGAAGAGGGCGGAUGACGAGGUCAGGUCCCAGCACUUUGGGAGGCCGAAGAGGGCGGAUGAUGAGGUCAGGAGAUCGAAACCAUCCUGGCU